GUUUGGGAGUCAUUGGCUGAAAACUCGCUACAUGGGUCAAACAAAAAGCUUAAGGGGUUAAGACACUCAAUAGCAGUACAACGUUAAAAGAAAAAAAAAAAGAAAAAAGAGUUCAAUAAAUGAAGGACGGAAGUAACAAUAUACUUGUCUAUAAGAAGGUUAAUGAUUUAGAGAUAAAGGUAGAAAUAAUUUAGAAAAUAUUCAA
rnacentral:lncRNA from 1 species